rnacentral:lncRNA from 1 species
GUGAAGAGACAAUCUACAGAAUAGGAGAAAAUCUUUACAAAUUGUACAUGUGACAGAAACACCAACAAUUAAAGGGCAACAUUUUAAAAAAUCCAAUGAAAAAUGGCAAAUCAUCUUAAUAAAGGUUUUACUAGAAUUUUCUGUACGUACUCCUGUCAAAUGAAGUAAUUUCCUGUACACCACUUCUCUUGCAAACUGAUCUUCUAUUUCCUUUCAUUUGACCUAGAACGGCUACCAGACCUAGAGAAGGAUCGGGAUGGCUUGUAAUUUCUCUCCCAAGACAGCGAUCUCUCUCUUCUCCUAUCUAGAAAGGGACCUGCUCCGGCUGCGAAAGAAGCUUCUUCUUCUUGGAGAUCUGCGACGAGGUGGAGGACUCCACCAACGAUAAUCAUCUCGAGGACGACGGCCCCAAGACGGAGGUGGGCCACGAUUUCUACUUCUUUUGUCACCAUUCGACAGUUCCACUCUUACACGGCAGCCACAUAGUGUUCUUCCAUCUAGCUCUCGGACAGCAUCAGCUGUAUCUCGGGGAUCUUCAAAUUCAACAAAAGCAAAGCCGGGAGGGUUUUUGGCUACUAUGGACACUUUGGAGUGGUCCAUAGUAGCCAAAAGCCCGUUCCAAUUCGGUCUUGUUGCCAUUGUUUCCCAGAUUGCCUACAUAAACCUUACAGUCCAAGGGACAGGAAUCACUUUAGAUACAUACUGUGGAUUCAACAAUUAUGUAAUGGGAUGAAGGAGAAAAAACAAAUGUUUCUGUCCUUGUGAGAUUCAACAUUUUUAAGGAGUCAUAGAUUAAUUAAAUAACUACACAAAUAAAGGUAAAAUUCAAGCUGUGUUAUUUUUUAAAUAACCCAUUUUUAUUGAUAUGGUUCACAGCUAUAGAAUUAUAGUAUAAAUUAUAUACUUUGAAAGUAUAUAAUUUAGUGGUUUUUACUGAACUCAAAGAGUUGUAUAUAACUACUGUGUAAUUUUAUAACAUUUUUAUGACCCCAUUAAAAAAAAAAAACAUAUACCUUAGCAGUCAUUAUUCAUCAUCCUCCCCUUUUUCACUACAGCCUCUGGCAGAAAUAGGCAUUUCAGGGCAUUUCAGGUAUAUGCAUUUAUACAGCCUGUAGUCUUUUUGUCUUUUGUCUUUCUUCUUCCAUUUAACAUGAUAUUUUCAAAGAACCUCAUGUUGUUCCAUAUAGCAGUACUUCAUUCCAUAUCUUGGCUGAAAAAUAUUGUUGUAUGAGUACACCAUGUUGUGUUGAUUCAUUUCAUCAGUUUAUAGAUAUUUGGGUGGUUUCUACCUUUUAACUACAAUGAACAAUGCUGCUAUAAACAUUGAUGUAGAUGUAUGUUUUAAAUUACUUUGAGUGUAUUCCAAUGAGUUCAAUUGCUUAGUCAUAUGAAACCCAUGUUUAACAUCUUUAGGUUUCAGAAACGAAUGUAUCAUUGCUAAAUCCCACCAGUAGUGUACAAAGAACCCACUUCUCCAUAUCUUCACCAAUCUUUGUUCUCUUAGUGUGUAUCCUGUGGUUUUGAGUUGUUUUCUCUAAGGACUAAUGAUGUUGAGCAUUUCUUCAUGUGCUUUUUGGCUAUUUAAAUCUCAUUUUGGAGAAAUGUCUAUUGAAAUUUUUUGCCUAUUUAUUACUGGGUUAUUUAUCAUUUUGCCCUUGAAGGACUUUUGUUAAAUGUUCUUGAUACAAGUAUUUUGUCAGAUACAUGAUUUACAGUGUUUUUUGUUUUUGUUUUUGUUUUUGUUUUUUCUUAUUUGUUUUAUUGUCUUUUUCUUGAAGUUUUCUUUUGGGGUAUAAUAUUUUUUAUAUAGAUGGAAUCUAACAUAUUUAUAAUUUAUUUUGUUGCUUGUGUUCUAGUGUCAUAUAUAAUAAAAUAUUGUCUAAUCCAAAUUUAAAUUUACAGGCAUUGUUUUUCCUCUAAAUGCUGCAUUAGCUGUGUUUCAUAAGUUUGUGUACAUCGUGUUUUGUUCAUUUGUCUAAAAAUGUUUUCUAAUUUAUCUUGGUUCUCCUUUACUCACUGAUUACUAGGAGGGUGUUGUUUAAUUUCUAUGUAUUUAUGAAUUUCUCCAAUAUUUUUUCUCAUUUUACCAAUUUUGGUUUUUUUGUAAUGGAAAAACAUUUUUAUAUUAAUUCAACUAUCUUGAUUUAUUCAACUAUAUUUAUUUUGUAACAUAUGGUGUAUCUUAGAUAAUAU